AGACCGAUAGCAAACAAGUACGGUGACGGAAGAUUGAAAAGAACUUUGAAGAGAGAGUUCAAUAGUACAUGAAACUGUGUGGUGGUAAACGGAUGGAUUCUUGAAGUUUCUGCCAAGAACUCAGCCUUGGUGUUGGGCAGUGGGGUCCUGUCUGAUCAGCAAUGACAGCAGGGCUCCUCAGGUCUGGCUCACGGGUGCAUUUUCUUGGCAGUUUACGGCAGGAACCGUUUGGAGGUGACCUAUGGCUUUGGGUGAAGUUACAGGCCUAGCUUGUAGCCCCGGAUGUCCUGGCUCCCCACCAGACGGGUAAUUGAGGAGACUCGUAUAGCGAGCAAUGCUCUGUUGCAGUUUCCAUCUCUCUGCCGAGUAGGUCAGCGGUCCAUCCGACCCGUCUUGAAACACGGAC
rnacentral:rRNA from 1 species